AUGCUAUGAAGAUUGUAUUUGGAUCAGGGACACAGCUCUAUGUGCUGUCAAGGGAAGAAUCUUCACCCAAAUACUACAAGCUGACAUCCAAGGACAAAGAAGUCAGUGCUUGCCUUGCUACUGGUUUCAGCGAUUACAAUGAUACAAAUUACCUCCCCCUGUUCAACAAAACUGCACCGACUAGGAUAAAGGGGGAGUCCUACUUCGGCAGAGUGGCUCUUUUGUCCGAAGACAAUGAAAGACAGUGUCCUGCAUCAGAUGAGAAUGACGAUGACACGUGUGAUUCUGGAGGAGAUUUUGAAACUGAUGAAAAGGUCAACUUCCUCUCUCUGACGGUCCUGGGGUUAAGAAUCCUAUUUCUGAAAAGCAUUGUCUUUAACGUCCUGAUGACUCUUCGAGCUUGGAUGAGUUAGGGAAAGAGGAUGGACGACAGACUUUCAUUGUUGUCGGAAGGAAGGGGUAACAAGAAUGAUGCGCCAUGGCAAGAAAACGGAUGAAAUGCUACAAGCAGAAAGCUUCAGCUAUUCAUUUUACUCUUUGUAUAGAAUGUUUCUUUAAUACCUACUUCAUGAAUGUUUUUUUUUUUAUAUACUGAACUUAAUAUACUGAAUUUUACUUGCAUGCAUAAAUAAGUGUACACCAAUAUUAUGGUCAUAUUUGUAGUCAAAAUAGAAAAAUACAUAUAGUGUUUGGUAAAUCUCAUUUUAUAUAACGUUACUUCUUUACUUCUUUCUCUGUCAAUACUUAACCAGCAAUAUAACCAAUAAAUGUUACAAAAUUGACUUGUAUGUCACUUGAGAAUAAUUUUACUCUUGUGCAAAUUAGCUAUUUUAUCUGAAUUUGUUUUACUUUAUGUAUUAUAUGCAAAAGUGUCUUUAAUCAAAUUCACUCACCCUCUGUAAUCAAAAUGCUUUCUGUGCACAUAAAUAUUGUAAAAGCUUAAUAAAUAUACUUCUAAUUUA